ACCCACUGUUAGUGUGUAAGAUGGCAAUGUCCUGCUCUCCUUCUGUCGCUUGACCAUGUCACUUAACCAACCACACACGCAGCUCUCCAGGCAGGCAAUGCCAAACCUCCAGCUCUGACACCACAAAGAACGUUUCACCGCUUAAAAAACGUCCCGUGCACGCGCAUGCGCACAGAAUUCCAGCUCGGGGACCUGGAAGACGGAGGCAGCUGGCAGGGUCAACUCUCAGCCAAGGCCUGGAGAGAGUCUUUGCAGGGUACAGGCAGAUGCCUUACCUUGCCCAGGAGGUCCUCCAGGCUGUGCGCCAUGAUGCCUUUGCGAACCUUCCGAUCUGCUGUGCUAACUCGACAGGGCCUCGCCCUGGGGGCUUUCCGGCUGGGCUUAGACACCAGCUGUUGGGUCACCACGGCAGUGCUCACUGCCACAUGCCUGGGGACAUGAGUGUGAACAUCAGAUGACCUGCCUGUGGCCACUAGGUCCACCCACACCUGUCUGCUGAGUUCACGGCUGACCCUUCCAACCCAUCAUGGCUGCUCCAGGUGGCCUUCACAAAGCCCGUCAGAAGAUUCAUCUCCGAUUUGGAUGGGCAGGAAAAUCAGCGGGGAUCUUGCUUAAAUCAGCCCCACUUCCGUGCCUCUGAGUGGAGCCUAAGGGAUUGCGUGUCUGACAAGUCCCCAAGCCGGAUAGGAUGGCCUAUGUAGCUCUGACUGACUUGGAACUUGCUGUGUCCACUACAGUCUAGCCUUGAACUCACCAGGAUCUGCCUGUCUCUGCCUCCUGAGUGCUGGGAUGAAAAGCAUGUACCACCACAUCCAGCCCCUAUAUGGUUUUUAUACCUAGUAAAGUUUUCAAAGUUCUAA